rnacentral:rRNA from 1 species
GACGAACCGUGCGAACGUUGUUCGGAUUCACUGGGCAUAAAGGGCGCGUAGGCGGGUCGUUUGGUCCGUGGUGAAAGCCUCCCGCUUAACGGGAGAAGUGCCGCGGAGACGGGCGAUCUCGAGGGGGGUAGGGGCGUCUGGAACGGUCGGUGGAGCGGUGAAAUGCGUUGAUAUCGACCGGAACUCCGGUGGCGAAGGCGAGGCGCUGGACCCUUUCUGACGCUGAGGCGCGAAAGCCAGGGGAGCAAACGGG